rnacentral:rRNA from 1 species
UACGUAGGGUGCGAGCGUUGUCCGGAAUUACUGGGCGUAAAGAGCUCGUAGGUGGUUUGUCACGUCGUCUGUGAAAUUCCGGGGCUUAACCUCGGGCGUGCAGGCGAUACGGGCAAUACUUGAGUGCUGUAGGGGAGACUGGAAUUCCUGGUGUAGCGGUGAAAUGCGCAGAUAUCAGGAGGAACACCAAUGGCGAAGGCAGUUCUCUGGGCAGUUACUGACGCUGAGGAGCGAAAGCAUGGGUAGCGAACAGGAUUAGAUA